CAAGGAAUGCCUCAUCGCGCUGGGCUGCUGCAGCCUGGAGCCGCUGUCAUUAAACACCGGCUGUUGUUAAUGAAGGCUUCUUUUCUUGCCAUAUUCCUAUACCCUAUGGGGGAGAAAGAGAUCCCCUUGAAUUGCUGCAGAGGGUGACAGUGAUUUCUGAAGAAUCCUCCAAAGAGUGAGCAAAGAGCACUGAAAACAGAUGCAGAAAGCUAUUUGCAUGGAAUUACCAUUGGAACAGUACAGUUGGAAGGAACCCACAAAGAUCAUCGUGUCCCUGCUGCCUGACUGCUGGAGGGCUAACCAAAAGUGAAAGCACGUCAUUAGUAAGGGCAUUAUCCAAACUUCUUGAAUGCAGAAGCCUUGUAAGAAAAGCACAGAGAGAGCACUGGUAAAAGACUCUAAAUGUCUUGUAAAACAGUACCAAGAAGACUAAGUAAUUCUGCUGGACUGGAAGAUCAUAACCACAUCUGAAUGUUUCAAAGGUAUUUCUGAAGUCAAGAUAGACAACAUCUACAUCUGUCCUCUCAUCUACAAAAUUCAAGUUGACUGUAUGUGGCUAGCCUUAUUUACUGGUGGGUAGCAAUUACUCUCACAGUUAUCUGGACUGGGAUGGAAGCUUAGGAUUUGAAGACAAUGUGGUUCAUGCUGCUGAAAUGCAUGACAGUUGGAAGAACUACUGAAUAUUUUUUGUAUAACAUAAGGUCUCUGACUGAGGUUGAUAGCCAACCACAUGUAGCACCUAGAGGCAGAAAUACAUCUUACAAAUAUGUCUCACUUACCUGCAACCUUCCCUGUAUUUUAAAUAUUCAUGACAUCUUGUAGUAAUUAAUUCUAAAGUUGCAUUUCAUUUUAUUUCAUUUUCAUUUCAUGUUCAUAUACUUCCUUAUAAUUUCCUAGUGUACUCCCUCAUUAUUCUGUUACAAAAUAUGAGGAAUAAUCUUUCCUUUCUGUGUUGAUAGUGAUUUUACAUAUUUGCCUGUAAAAAUACCUUUUUCUUUUUCCCAGAUGAUGAUGAUUUAUUUUUCUGUUCUGUAUAAAGAAACUAUUGUGUUCUUCUUCUGGUAUACUUUUUUUUUUAUUUUUUUUUUAAUGCAAUGAUUUGACUUAACCCUUGUGAGACAUUCCAAUAUGGAAACUGUGAGUUUAAUUGCUGACAUAGUUAUUUCUUGCAAAUUGUCCUCAGUUAUCUUGGGAAACACCCCCAAAUACAACUGCUAGUGGAACUGCUUAAAUGUAUUCUCGACAUUUUGAGAGAACUGUACACAGUAGUUCUCUGACUUUUUCAUGGUGAUAAUACCUAACUUGGAGUCUUCAGCACCCAUCAGUAAUUCUAUUUUUUCCUCCAUGUACUACUACUCACUUUUCUACUGCAUUUCCACUACCAUUUUAUUACUUGGUCACCAGAUUUUGUUAACUAGAAGAUAACAACAAAACUACUUCUUGUAGCUGGAGAAAGAUAACUGACAGUAUAACUUUUCAAAUGGUUCCUAUUUUCUGUAACACUUUCAUGCUAAAUCCGCACUGGUGCAAGAAUAUCCAUAAACAUCCACAGCUCUGGCUUGGAAAAGAGAGUAACUUGAAAAAGAAGAAAAUAAGAGCUUUUUCACAUCAGUUUUUACAGAAGAUCUUUAAAUCCCAUGUAAUCUUGUUCAUUGGUGCAAAUCUGUGGGGCCCUGACUUCUCAGUGCUAAAAGGAACAAUUACAAAGUGUGUUUGUUUGCUUUUAAUAGCAGGAAAAAAUGGCUUAUAUUUGAAUUUGACUGCUACAUUUGUAUACGGAAAGAUUAACUGACUGAAACAAUGAGGAGGGAAUAAAGGACAAG
ensembl:lncRNA